UUUUUUUUUUUUUUUUUUUUUUGCCACCCUGUGACAUGCAGAGUUCCUGGGCCGGGGAUCAGACUUGAGCCAUAGUUGUGACCUAUGCUGCAGCUGUGGCAACGCUGGAUCCUUUAGCCCACUGUGCCGGGCUGGGGAUCGAACCUGCCUCCUGCUGCAGCAGAGAUGCCACUGAUGCCCUUGCACCGCAGCGGUAACUCCAAGAUCAGUCCUUUUAAACGUAUACCAGAUAGUUUCACAUGCUAUCUUAUUAUGUUCUGAAAUAAACCAAGUGACUCUAAGAUCUGAGAAGGAUGUUGAGAAUAAUCAUUGCAUGUAUUUCAAUCCCCACCAUCACUGCUGCCAUUUUAUUUUUAUAUCUCUAGUUGAGCCAAAGUAACAUUCCAUGCAAACAGGUUUUCUUUGUAGGCAGAGUUGGGUUGUGUCUGAUUUUUCCUUGGCCUGUUGCACAUGUUUCCAGUCCUUUUAAAUUUGGGAUAAUGACUUUAUUGCCUCUGUUAGAACUGAGGCUGGGAGAAGUAACUAAUAAUCUUCUUCAUACUAAUGUGUAAAUGACUGAUACUGGCUUAUCUUUUAAGAGAAAAAGGAGAUGAUAAGAACUUGACAGGAAGAAAAAUCGUACAAAAAGGGAAGGGCUAGGGGUCAUUGAUCUACCCUCUCCCAGUACGACUCAUUGUCUAUCUUGCCUUACUAGUCAUAACUUAUCAAUUAAACUCGGUUACAAACAGAAUGUUUCUUUGAUUCAUACAGAAUUUUCUUUUUUUCUGCUACUUUAGUGGAAACUUGUGGUCAUAUUCUCCUUGGAUCUCUUUUAGAAGAGCUUUGAGGGUUUCACCCCUUUUAUUAGCCAAGACUUAACAAGCCCUCGCAUGUGGUAGGUUGGAGAAAGCAAGUCAAACAUAGGUCUUGAUUUACAGGCAACUGGGUCACUGACUUGCUACCAGGUACGCAAUUAUGGCACGUUGGUGACAACUGGACUUUUGGGAGCAACUAGAGAUAAUAGAUAUUCAGAGGAAAUGGCAACAAAAUUUGUCUGGGGCAGCAUGGAAAGGUUUAGCAAGGAGAUGACAUUGAGCCGAAAUUCACAUCUUUCUCUCUCUCUCUCUCUCUCUCUCUCUUUCUCUCUCUUUAGUGUUUUCCAAGGCUGGGAAAUUUUCUAGAAAUGUUCAAUGUCUAUAGGAGCAAAAGGGGGGCUGUAUUUUAAUUUUAUUUUAAACCUAAGGUGUCUGUGUCUUUCCAUCUGAGUGAAUUAGCUUGAGAUGCUUCAAUACUGCUGACCUGUGGGAUCAGAAUGCUAUCAUGCUUAAGGAGGCUUAACUGGUGGGGUGCAAUUAUGCUUACUCAGACCUUUGCAGCUGAUUAAAGCUUUAUUUCCAGAGCCUACCCAUUGUUUCAGAAGUAAUUUGUGCAUGAUUAUAGAAGUUACUGUGUUACCUAUUUUUAUUAAUAUUUUUUUAAUUUUUUAAUUUUUUUGCUUUUAGAGCUGCAUCUGUGGCAUAUGGAGGUUCCCAGGCUAGGGGUUGAAUCAGAGCUAUAGCUGCUGGCCUACACCACAGCCACAGCAACACCAGAUCUGAGCCGUGUCUGUGACCUACACCACAGCUCAUGGUAAUGCCAGAUCCUUAACCCACUGAGCAAGGUCAGGGAUCGAACCCAUGUCCUCAGGGAUACUAGUCAGGCUGGUUAACCGCUGAGCCAUGACGAGAACUCCAGAGUUGUUGAGUUAUUAAAAAGGGUUUGCCUUAUAUGGCCAUAGUUCUCUAUAAGAAUAGAUGGCUUUUUUUUUUUUUCUCUUUGCAUUUUUAAGAGCUUGAUCAAAGGCAGCUUGGUGUAUUUCACUUACCAUUACCUAGUUUAGGGUGUAGGUGGGUCUGAGUUAAUAAGGGAAGUCUUACUGGAAGAAUCAGAUAUUAUUCUGAAUCUUAAGCGUGAGAAUGAAGGAUGAAAAGCCUCGCCAGAUCUAGGCAUGGGAAGGAGGUUAAUGAAAAGGAUCUGAAAUGGGAAAUGGAGGACCAUGUCGACUUUAGGUUGGAUUGUGUCAUAAAUUUACUCUGUCCAAAAAAAAUCUCUGUCCUGGGGACUUUCAAACUUCUAUCUUUUCCUUUGACUCUCACUCUUGGGUGAGUGAUACUUGAGGUUGGGGGUCAGCAAACUUUUUUUUUUUUUGUAAAGAGCCAGAGAGUAAAUAUUUUUGGCUUUGUAGUCUCUUUUGAAACUAACUCAACUCUGCUAUUGCUGCAUGAAAGCAACUAUAGGCAAUAGAUAAAUGAAUGACUGUGGCUGUGUCUCAAUAAAACUUUAUUUACAAAAAUGGGCAGUGGGCCAGAUUUGGCCUGGGGGCCUUAGGUCAUUGUUUCCCAAAUGUUAGUCCUUUCACUGUCCCUGUGAUGAUAUGGCUUAAUCUGAGUAGCAUCUGCCCUAUUAUUUACUUAUUACUUCUUCCCCUUUAUUUAUUUACCUUAAAAAAGAAAAACCUCUAAAACACUUAAACUUAUUUUAAAAGGAACUUUAAUCACUACCAUAAAUGGGAAAGCAGUAGUAGAUGUUAUUAAUAAGAGGUCACCAAAAAAUAAGUACAAUGAAAACAAAACAACGAGAAGAAAAUAAUUCAGUCACGUACUCCUGAUUGUGUGCACACCCCGUUUUGGGAACUAUUGAUUAAGGCUGUAGCCAGUAACAAGUAAGACAGCUUAAAAUUAGUCUCUCUGAUUUGAUGACUGUUCAUUUUGAUGUCUUUUUUUUUUUUUCCCUCAGUGUUGUUUCUGGUGUCCUUUUCUUUCUUUUUAAAAAUUUUUUAAUUUAUUUUUUUAUAUUACUCAAUGAAUUUAUUACAUGUAUGGCUGUACAAUGAUAUACAUCCCAAACCCCCAGCAUCCCCCCACUCCUCAACCUCUCUCCUUUGGAAACCACAAGUUUUUCAAAGUCUGUGAGUCAGUAUCUGUUCUGUAGAGAAGUUCAUUGUGUCCUUUUUUCAGAUUCCACAUGUCAGUGAAAGCAUUUGAUGUUGGUGUCUCAUUGUCUGACUGACUUCACUCAGCAUGAUAAUUUCUAGGUCUAUCCAUGUUGCUAAAAAUGCUGUUAUUUUGUUCCUUUUAAUGGCUGAGUAAUAUUCCCUUGUGUAUAUGUACCACAUCUUCUUGAUCCACUCCUCUGUCGAUGGACAUUCGGGUUGUUUCCAUGUCUUGGCUAUUGCAAAUAGUGCUGCAGUGAACAUUGGAGUACAUGUGUCUUUUCGAGUCAUGGUUUUCUCUGGAUAGAUACCCAGGAGUGGGAUUGCUGGAUCAAAUGUUGCAUCCAAAACCAGGUCAACUAUGUGACACCCCAGGAGGGCUCCUAAGCUGGGGUCGUUGGAUCAAAUACAGAACAUCCAUUAACUUUGAACUUCAGGUAAACAACACAUUAUUUUUCAGUAUAAAUAUGCCCCAGGUGAUUUGUGGGACAUACUGAUGCUAAAAUUCAUUUGUUGCUUAUCUGAAAUGCAAAUUUUACUGGGUCUUACCUUUUUUUUUUUCCCCUAAAUCCAGCAAACCUACCCUAGUCCAACAGCAAGGGGUCAGUGCAAAAACAUUCAAGUGGUGGUGGGGUUGACAGUCCUGGUGGGGGCAGAAAGGCUGCAAGAAAGCAGCAACUCAUUCUACUUAAAAUUUGGUCUAUGGGAGGUCUCAGCAGGGGACAGACAGUGAUUAAGUUGGCCUGACCAGGAGGUGCUGGGUCAGGAAUUAAGGCAAAUCCUCAUAACUUAUAGUCCCAGCUAUGAGUUUUUACACAAUCCAUUUCUGCACCAGAAAGCCACUGGAGGGUAAGAAGAGCAUGUGUGAUAGGACAGAAAGUAACCUUUCAAAGAACUUUCCUUUUAGCCUAUUUUUGUGGCUAUAUCAUGCCUCCAAUGCUCGGGAAAAAUAAUCAAAUGAGAAUUUAGAACUGUUCUCAGAUUGUCAGUUUUUCAUCUAAAAAUGUUAAUGUAUAUUAAACUUUUAAUUAAAAAAAGCAUAUCCCAUCACAAACUAUUUUUAAUAUGGAAUAUUUAGCAGCAGUGCACACAUUCUGUUCUGAGCUCCACCAGGCUAUUAAGCAGAAUAAUUUGGGUUUAAAAUAAACUGAAUUAGGUUGUAUAUCCCCAGGUUAAGUCCCCCCAAAGUUAUAGGAGUUAAAUUGCCAUCUUUGCAAUGUACAGGCACGUUUUUGGUUGUUCUCUGCAGGAUAGAGUUGCGAUUCACUUGUCAGUUUCUGAUGGCAUCAGAAAUGGUAGUGGUUGACAGAGCCAUGU
rnacentral:lncRNA from 1 species